rnacentral:rRNA from 1 species
GAUGAACGCUGGCGGCGUGCCUAAUACAUGCAAGUCGGGCGAACGGACGAGAAGCUUGCUUCUCUGAUGUUAGCGGCGGACGGGUGAGUAACACGUGGAUAACCUACCUAUAAGACUGGGAUAACUUCGGGAAACCGUAGCUAAUACCGGAUAAUAUUUUGAACCGCAUGGUUCAAAAGUGAAAGACGGUCUUGCUGUCACUUAUAGAUGGAUCCGCGCUGCAUUAGCUAGUUGGUAAGGUAACGGCUUACCAAGGCAACGAUGCAUAGCCGACCUGAUAGGGUGAUCGGCCACACGGGAACUGGGACACGGUCCAGACUCCUACGGGAGGCAGCAGUAGGGAAUCUUCCGCAAUGGGCGAAAGCCUGACGGAGCAACGCCGCGUGAGUGAUGAAGGUCUUCGGAUCGUAAAACUCUGUUAUUAGGGAAGAACAUAUGUGUAAGUAACUGUGCACAUCUUGACGGUACCUAAUCAGAAAGCCACGGCUAACUACGUG